AUGCACGCUGGCGGCGUGCCUAAUACAUGCAAGUCGAGCGAACAGACGAGGAGCUUGCUCCUCUGACGUUAGCGGCGGACGGGUGAGUAACACGUGGAUAACCUACCUAUAAGACUGGGAUAACUUCGGGAAACCGGAGCUAAUACCGGAUAAUAUAUUGAACCGCAUGGUUCAAUAGUGAAAGACGGUUUUGCUGUCACUUAUAGAUGGAUCCGCGCCGCAUUAGCUAGUUGGUAAGGAAACGGCUUACCAAGGCGACGAUGCGUAGCCGACCUGAGAGGGUGAUCGGCCACACUGGAACUGAGACACGGUCCAGACUCCUACGGGAGGCAGCAGUAGGGAAUCUUCCGCAAUGGGCGAAAGCCUGACGGAGCAACGCCGCGUGAGUGAUGAAGGUCUUCGGAUCGUAAAACUCUGUUAUUAGGGAAGAACAAAUGUGUAAGUAACUAUGCACGUCUUGACGGUACCUAAUCAGAAAGCCACGGCUAACUACGUG
rnacentral:rRNA from 1 species